AGCGAACGCUGGCGGCAGGCUUAACACAUGCAAGUCGAACGGGCACUUCGGUGUCAGUGGCAGACGGGUGAGUAACACGUGGGAACGUACCUUUUGGUUCGGAACAACUGAGGGAAACUUCAGCUAAUACCGGAUAAGCCCUUACGGGGAAAGAUUUAUCGCCGAAAGUUCGGCCCGCGUCUGAUUAGCUAGUUGGUAGGGUAAUGGCCUACCAAGGCGACGAUCAGUAGCUGGUCUGAGAGGAUGAUCAGCCACAUUGGGACUGAGAAACGGCCCAAACUCCUACGGGAGGCAGCAGUGGGGAAUAGUGGACAAUGGGGGCAACCCUGAUCCAGCCAUGCCGCGUGAGUGAUGAAGGCCCUAGGGUUGUAAAGCUCUUUUGUGCGGGAAGAUAAUGACGGUACCGCAAGAAUAAGCCCCGGCUAACUUCGUGCCAGCCGCCGCGGUAA
rnacentral:rRNA from 1 species